GGUUGGUACAGAGGUUACUCCACGCGAUGUAAGGCACUCAAGGGGAUUGUUUUCCGACAACGUACGUCUGCCCAAGGAUUCCUCUGUCACGCACGAGGGCCCGUAUGAGAUUGU